AGAGUUUUGAUCAUGGCUCAGAUUGAACGCUGGCGGCAGGCCUAACACAUGCAAGUCGAGCGGUAGCACAGAGAGCUUGCUCUCGGGUGACGAGCGGCGGACGGGUGAGUAAUGUCUGGGAAACUGCCUGAUGGAGGGGGAUAACUACUGGAAACGGUAGCUAAUACCGCAUAACGUCGCAAGACCAAAGUGGGGGACCUUCGGGCCUCAUGCCAUCAGAUGUGCCCAGAUGGGAUUAGCUAGUAGGUGGGGUAACGGCUCACCUAGGCGACGAUCCCUAGCUGGUCUGAGAGGAUGACCAGCCACACUGGAACUGAGACACGGUCCAGACUCCUACGGGAGGCAGCAGUGGGGAAUAUUGCACAAUGGGCGCAAGCCUGAUGCAGCCAUGCCGCGUGUGUGAAGAAGGCCUUCGGGUUGUAAAGCACUUUCAGCGGGGAGGAAGGCGAUAAGGUUAAUAACCUUGUCGAUUGACGUUACCCGCAGAAGAAGCACCGGCUAACUCCGUGCCAGCAGCCGCGGUAAUACGGAGGGUGCAAGCGUUAAUCGGAAUUACUGGGCGUAAAGCGCACGCAGGCGGUCUGUCAAGUCGGAUGUGAAAUCCCCGGGCUCAACCUGGGAACUGCAUUCGAAACUGGCAGGCUAGAGUCUUGUAGAGGGGGGUAGAAUUCCAGGUGUAGCGGUGAAAUGCGUAGAGAUCUGGAGGAAUACCGGUGGCGAAGGCGGCCCCCUGGACAAAGACUGACGCUCAGGUGCGAAAGCGUGGGGAGCAAACAGGAUUAGAUACCCUGGUAGUCCACGCCGUAAACGAUGUCGAUUUGGAGGUUGUGCCCUUGAGGCGUGGCUUCCGGAGCUAACGCGUUAAAUCGACCGCCUGGGGAGUACGGCCGCAAGGUUAAAACUCAAAUGAAUUGACGGGGGCCCGCACAAGCGGUGGAGCAUGUGGUUUAAUUCGAUGCAACGCGAAGAACCUUACCUGGUCUUGACAUCCACAGAACUUUCCAGAGAUGGAUUGGUGCCUUCGGGAACUGUGAGACAGGUGCUGCAUGGCUGUCGUCAGCUCGUGUUGUGAAAUGUUGGGUUAAGUCCCGCAACGAGCGCAACCCUUAUCCUUUGUUGCCAGCGGUUAGGCCGGGAACUCAAAGGAGACUGCCAGUGAUAAACUGGAGGAAGGUGGGGAUGACGUCAAGUCAUCAUGGCCCUUACGACCAGGGCUACACACGUGCUACAAUGGCAUAUACAAAGAGAAGCGACCUCGCGAGAGCAAGCGGACCUCAUAAAGUAUGUCGUAGUCCGGAUUGGAGUCUGCAACUCGACUCCAUGAAGUCGGAAUCGCUAGUAAUCGUAGAUCAGAAUGCUACGGUGAAUACGUUCCCGGGCCUUGUACACACCGCCCGUCACACCAUGGGAGUGGGUUGCAAAAGAAGUAGGUAGCUUAACCUUCGGGAGGGCGCUUACCACUUUGUGAUUCAUGACUGGGGUGAAGUCGUAACAAGGUAACCGUAGGGGAACCUGCGGUUGGAUCACCU
rnacentral:rRNA from 1 species